rnacentral:rRNA from 1 species
GACGGAUGGGGCUAGCGUUGUUCGGAAUUACUGGGCGUAAAGGGCGCGUAGGCGGCCAAUUAAGUUAGACGUGAAAGCCCUAGGCUUAACCUAGGAAUUGCGUUUAAUACUGGUUGGCUAGAGUUCGGUAGAGGAAAGCGGAAUUCCUAGUGUAGAGGUGAAAUUCGUAGAUAUUAGGAAGAACACCAGAGGCGAAGGCGGCUUUCUGGCCCGAUACUGACGCUGAGGCGCGAAAGCGUGGGGAGCAAACAGG